rnacentral:lncRNA from 1 species
GGGCCAUUGAGAAUGCUCAUUUUCGGCUUUGCAAGAUACGAGUUAGUUUUUCAAAGUAGGCAUGUAAGAAAACAUUCCCACCAGACUCUGGUGGAAAAAAAAAUAUAUAUAUAUAUACAUAUAUUUGUUUAAAAAAUGAAUUAUUUGUAUUCAAAAGGAGAAGAAACUUCCUUCUGGCAUUUUUGGAGGUGAUCUCUGCACACGCUGGAUGUAAGAUGAUGGAUGUGUUAACUAGCUUGAUUUUGGUAAUCAUUUCACACUGUAUAUAUAUCAAGUCAUGUUAUACACCUUAAAUAUAUACCGUUUGGUAUGUUGAUUACCUCAAUAAAGCUGGGGGGUGGGGAAAGAUUUGAAAAAUGUGA